rnacentral:pre_miRNA from 1 species
CUUAUACUCCCUCCGUCCGAAAAAGCUUGUCCCAAACUUGUCCUUCAAAUGGAUGUAUCUAGAACAUAGUGUAAGAUGGUCCAUUUGAGGGACAAGCUUUUCCGGAUGGAGGGAGUAUAUU